rnacentral:rRNA from 1 species
GACGAACGCUGGCGGCGUGCUUAACACAUGCAAGUCGAACGGAAAGGCCCUGCUUUUGUGGGGUGCUCGAGUGGCGAACGGGUGAGUAACACGUGAGUAACCUGCCCUUGACUUUGGGAUAACUUCAGGAAACUGGGGCUAAUACCGGAUAGGAGCUCCUGCUGCAUGGUGGGGGUUGGAAAGUUUCGGCGGUUGGGGAUGGACUCGCGGCUUAUCAGUUUGUUGGUGGGGUAGUGGCUUACCAAGGCUUUGACGGGUAGCCGGCCUGAGAGGGUGACCGGCCACAUUGGGACUGAGAUACGGCCCAGACUCCUACGGGAGGCAGCAGUGGGGAAUAUUGCACAAUGGGCGGAAGCCUGAUGCAGCAACGCCGCGUGCGGGAUGACGGCCUUCGGGUUGUAAACCGCUUUCGCCUGUGACGAAGCGUGAGUGGCGGUAAUGGGUAAAGAAGCACCGGCUAACUACGUG